AGACAGCAGUAGCCACGGUAAUACGAGGGGGGCAAGCGUUGUUCGGAUUUAUUGGGCGUAAAGGGUGCGUAGGCGGUUUGGCAAGUCUUGUGUGAAAUCUUCGGGCUCAACCCGAAGCCUGCACGAGAAACUACCGGGCUUGAGUAUUGGAGAGGUGAGUGGAAUUUCCGGUGUAGCGGUGAAAUGCGUAGAUAUCGGAAGGAACACCUGUGGCGAAAGCGGCUCACUGGACAAUAACUGACGCUGAUGCACGAAAGCUAGGGGAGCAAACAGGAUUAGAUACCCCCGUAGUCCCUGUCUCUUAUAC
rnacentral:rRNA from 1 species